CCGUCACAUAAACACCGUGUAUAUUUGCAGUGUUUGUUCUUCUUCUUGCAGUCGAAGUCACGCAAACUGGUUCAUGAGCCCAUCGGAGAAGGCAAGAUUUGAACCACCGGUGACUCAUCUCAUGGGCUUUGGCCAUCAUUGUCAUUUCUUGCCACCGGUUUGGAACCGCGAUGGCAUUCGUUUUGUCUUUUUUUUUUCGUUCCACCCUAGAGCAAAUGUUCAGUUGUCUCCGUGCUCCCAUCCACCGCCCCAAGUUGAUAUAGUAGUAGAGCCUGACUGAUUUUAUUUUUGAAUCUCCUAAGGAGAAUAUAUUAGCUAUGACCAGAGUUACAAACUAGAUCAUGGGCAGAAACACCCACGGAACCGUCCCAACAAUAAACUCAUUACAUGGAGCCUACCAGAAAUUUAGGUGAGUUUAUCUUGGAUUUUCCAAAGUUUGUCUCAAUGUACUGAAGAUUCGUUAAAAAAGUUGAAAGUACGCCCUUCUGUGGUUAAAAGUUAGAAUUGGAUAGGUGAAAGUUCAUAGGCAUAUUUAUGAAAUUCAAUUCGACUUUUUUUCAAAGCUUGAUUUUAGCAGCUCUCGAAGCUCAUGAUAGUGGGAAGAAGAGACACAUAAUCAAAUUGUGAUGGAGGAGCAUUUUUGGAGCAAUGAAAUGCGAGAAAGUGAGGUCUCCCAACCAUUGGCAUUAUCGACCAUGAGGGAGAUUACACUAGGCGGCCACGCAAAUUAGCAAUGCCCGAUAUGGAGCCACAUUCACAAUUUGCGGGUCAUACAUCGUUGUGAACGUCUUAAAAACAAUGCU
rnacentral:lncRNA from 1 species